rnacentral:rRNA from 1 species
AGCAGCCGCGGUAAUUCCAGCUCCAAUAGCGUAUAUUAAAGUUGUUGCAGUUAAAAAGCUCGUAGUUGAAUUUCGGGGUCAGUAGGUCGGUCGUGCCACUGGUAUGAACUGGUUUUACUGAUUCCUCCCUCUUAAAGAACUGUAAUGCCAUUAAUUUGGUGUUGCAGGGAAUCAGGACUGUUACUUUGAAAAAAUUAGAGUGUUUAAAGCAGGCUUUAGCUUGAAUACAUUAGCAUGGAAUAAUGAAAUAGGACGUUUGAUCCUAUUUUGUUGGUUCCUAGGAUUGACGUAAUGAUUAAUAGGGAUAGUUGGGGGCAUUAGUAUUCAAUUGUCAGAGGUGAAAUUCUUGGAUUUAUUGAAGACUAACUACUGCGAAAGCAUUUGCCAAGGAUGUUUUCAUUAAUCAAGAACGAAAGUUAGGGGAUCGAAGACGAUCAGAUACCGUCGUAGUCUUAACCAUAAACUAUGCCGACUAGGGAUCGGAUGAUGUUAAUUUAAUGACUCA